rnacentral:tRNA from 1 species
GCCCCAGUAGCUCAGACUGGCUAGAGCACCCGCCUCGUAAGCGGAAGGUCACGAGUUCAAAUCUCGUCUGGGGCU